CCCCUACAACCUCCACCGUACGUUCAGAGUUCUUCAAGCCGUGCCAAGACAGUCAGGAGAUGGCCUUCUGUUUGAAUGAGGGAGAAUGCUUCAUCAUCGAAACAGUGGCAGGUGUACACAGACACUGCAGGUGUAAAGAGGGCUACCGUGGACUUCGCUGUGACCAGUUUGUCCCAAAGACAGACUCCAUCUUAUCAGACCCAACAGCAGAUGAGCUGGGCAUUGAGUUUAUGGGUAAGGAAAUGUAUUUUUUUAUUAUUUCUUUAACCCAUCUUAUUUUCUACCUCAUUAACAUGUGCACAGAAGUUCUCUGUACUCUCUCUUAUAUUAUAAAGUUUGUAAUUAGUACGCUUUUUCUCUCAUGCUCAUCCAGGUUGUAUUUAUUUGA